UACGUAGGGGGCUAGCGUUGUCCGGAAUCAUUGGGCGUAAAGCGCGUGUAGGCGGUCCGGUAAGUCCGCUGUGAAAGUCGGGGGCUCAACCCUCGGAUGCCGGUGGAUACUGUCGGGCUUGAGUACGGAAGAGGCGAGUGGAAUUCCUGGUGUAGCGGUGAAAUGCGCAGAUAUCAGGAGGAACACCAAUUGCGAAGGCAGCUCACUGGGACGUUACUGACGCUGAGACGCGAAAGCGUGGGGAGCAAACAGG
rnacentral:rRNA from 1 species